GUUGUUUCUGGAACUUAUUUACUCAUUCACUCCAUCAGUGCCUUCAGUGGGCAGCCACCAGGAACACACCUGAAGCCAAACAGAAUUGGAUUUAUUGACUUACAGUGAGGGAGAAUGAACACCAUGGAGAAACACGGCAGAGGAAAGAAAUGCUGUAGAGUGGACUUAACAGACUCACGGGGAUAGUUGGCUGCCCUACUGGAAAGGGCCAAGACAAAUUGUAAAGGAAGACACAACUUUGAUGAACUCUGGAGCUACAAGCCAGGGACAAGGCUGAGGGAAGCCCAGACUCUGUUGGGUACAAGUGACACAGAAAGUCAUCUCAAACUAGCUGAAACACAAAAGCGCAGGAAGGCGGAAGGGAAGGCGGAGACCGGCAAGAGAGGGGAGAAGGCCCGGGGAAGACGCUCGGGACCAAGAUGCGGGGCCCGGGUGCGAGCAGCUGAACCUCUCGGCCCCCAGGCGUGGUGACCUGGGUGGCGACGCUCGUGGAGGCCGAGGAGCUUCUGGACCGGCGCUUCGGGGGACCAAGUGGAGAGGCUGCUGGAGUUGUCGCCUGAGUCCUCCCUUAGUUCUUCGCGCCGGCCUCGCCCACGGCUCCGGGUCCCAGCCGCCACUGCAGUCUCCGCAGCACCGAGCGGGGCUCCACCGACUCGCGACCUCCAGCCUCCGCCUCAAGGGCAGGGAGCGCGGCUGGGUCUCUGGAAAGCCAUUUUUAAAUCACUGCCUCUGCUGCCCCCAUGUGAGGUCGGAGUGUCCUCCCCCGUCUUUGCUUUCAGGUUCUUUCAGGUUCCUUUGGGCAAACCCGCAGCUAAGAGUCCAGCUUGUGAACUUGAACCUGAACUUGCUGAAGAAGCUCCCGGCGGCCCCCUGCUGUCUGCGGCCUUUGUUUGAGGGAGAGGCUGGGGUCACCCGGUUGGGCCGCAUUUCCGGGGCCGUCACCUGUCGGGCUGCCAGGCCGCGCGUACCUUGUCCCAUCGGGGGCUCUGCUCUGCCCCCUGCGCUGAUGACGCGGGUGGAAGGGAGGUAUCAGGGGCACUCUGGGGAGCUGUACCUGGCGGGCACCCCCCAGCUGCUCUCCGUGGGGUACGACACCGAGACCUGGUUGGGCUGCAAGGAGACCGACUGGGAUUCCCGGGCUGGUGGCCGGGGAGACGAAGGCGGGGGGUGAGAGGCAGGAACCCAGGAGGCCCCAGGCCCAGCGCUGUGGGGCUGCUGUUGUCGUUCUGCGUGGAGGUCUGGCCAAACUGGCUUUUGCCCCGAGUGAGGAAUUCCUGCUCUUUUUUGGUUUUGGUAAGAGGUCGCUAUUCACAGAGGGGGCGGGGUUCGUCCCCUCCAGGCGAGUACGGGGCUGGCGGGCGCAGUGCUGCCUUUCUGCUCUGUCUCUUGAUCCCGCUUAGGAUCUUUGUGGCUCCUCUGAGUCUUCUUAGAGAGGCCGUGAAAGAUGGGAAAGGCAGGUUGCUGAAACGCUGCUGCUCGGGGCUGGCAGAGACCCUGGUAUAGGGAAGGCGCACCACUGUGGGUCAGAUCAGCUGACAGUGGGGGUUUUAGGUGAUGGGGUAACCUUACAGUUCGGAUCUCUUAGAACCCAGAAGCAGGUAGGCGAUCGCUGCUUCAUCACACUUCACAGGGAGUCCUGGAUCUUUCCUGUCCGUAACCCAUGGACGCCAUGAUUCAGUAUGGCGGAGGUCCGGGGCUUAAGUUCCUGUUCAUGCUUCCUAAUCAUUCAUGGAUCCAUCACAAUGUGCUCUGAAGGGCCUCUCUUGCUGGGAUUGAGAAGGAUACAUUUUUUGAGCAGGUUUUUAUACUCAAUGGACAUGUAGAAGGGAAUAUAUUCUACUCAGUUCCCCUCCUGCAGCUCCUUGAAAUUCUGUCCAUCAAAAGCAGGGAUCUGCUGACCAGAGGUGACUGCCACAGAAGGUAUCCAGUUUGUAAAAGCUGAAUUUGUUGCUGAAGCCAGAAUUUGCAAUCUUGAUGUUUGUGUUAACAUCCAAGAGCGUGUUUUCUGCCUUUAAAUCUCUGUGGACAAUACGUUUCUGGUGACAGCUUGCACAGCAGACACUUUUGGUAGAAUUUGCUUCAGUCCUUUUUUUUUCUUUCCUGCUGCCAUGAGCAGGUAUUCACAAACUUCUCCUCCUGGCUAGUGUGCUUCAUGACAAAGCAAAGAGAUUCCUCAAUAUCGAUCACAGCAAAUGUUUCACUAUGUUGGGGUGAUCCGAGCCUUCAUGGUUCCUACUUUGUGGAUGGUGUCUGGAGGAGAUCUGCUGAGUCUCAUCAAUGAACUUCACAGCUGCUGCUUUCCCAGUUAAGAGGUCCCAGGCCAACCUUACCUUAGCCAGGUUGCCCUUGACGAUGGUCUCAAGGAUCCUAGCUGCCAGUAAGGGUCCCUUCUCAGCAGAGAUGGCUGAGAGGCCCUGUGGCAUGUGAGACUUACUGCUGGGCUUGGAGUCAAGGUGUCCCAGGUCAGCUUAAUUUCGGGAAAAACUGGUAAGACGCUUGGUUCAAAUCACUUGAAAAGAAAAUCACUUGCAUAGUUCACCUGAAGAAUGGAUCUCUAUAAUGGAAUUAAAGCACAAUGCUGGACAAAAAGUAAGAAAAAGCAACAAACUGAAAGGAAAAAUUGAGUAAAAAGAAUAAAGAACUAGAACUGGCAACCUCAGCCAAGCCAGGGAAUUACAUACAUCUUGGAAUUCCAAAGCAAUGCUUCCUUAUGAGGGCAUAGGAAGAAAUAAAUCUAAUAACAAGGCUGGGAUUAAUUCACGUGGUUUUCUCACAUUUUGGUCUCAAGAACUUUUUACUCUAAAACUAAUUAUUGAGGACCCCAAAGAGCUUUUUAUGUGGGUUAUAGUUAUCAGUAUUUACUUUAUUGGAAAUUAAAACCUGUAGGAUGUUUCAGUGGUCUUUUCUAGUUUGAAGGGUUUAAUAAUUUUUGGCUUUUAAAGAGCCCAUAAUCAAUUAAAAUAUUUUAUUUUCCUUUAAAUUGUAAAUGAUUGGUGUCAUAAUGAUGCUACAACUUAACUGGCAUUACAAUACUAUACAAAUACGUUCUAUUGUAUAAGUCACAAUAAGGUACAUUAUUAACUCUAUAACAUUUAGGGGAAGAUAGCUGUUAUCAUAUUAUUUAAAGUUUUGCCUAGUUUCUUUGUAGUAGACUUAUCUUUUCCAGGAGCCAGAGAACCCGCUAUAUCAGUUUCAGUAUCUUUAAAUGUAGAGAUUGCAGCUGUGUGUUGAGAAAGCACGUUUCACUUAGCAUGGGAUGGGGACUUCGAGGUACUGGAUAUGUCACUGGCACCUCAGGGGAGGAAACCAAGAUGCCCCUAUAUGAUUUUAAACAUGGUUUAUUAAAGCGUGAUACAGAAAAGUGCACAAAUUGUCCACCUACAGCUUGGUGACUGUUCACAAAUUGAACUCAUCUAACUAGCCUCCAGAAUAAGAAACAGGCCUUUACACACCCCCACCAGCCUCCCAAUCCCCUUUUCAGUCACCUUCUCUGCAGUGAUAACCACUAUUCUAUAUUCUGACAGCAUAGUUUCACUUGUUUUUUAACUUCACAUAAAUGGGAUCAGACAGUAUUGAAUCCUUUGUGUCUGCUUCCUUCACUCAAUAUUUUCCUGAGAUUUUUCUAUAUUGUUUAUUCUAAAUGCCCAUUGUACGACUGUAACACAAUUUGUUUAUCCAUUUUACUGUUCUUGGGCAUUUGGGUAGUUCUCACUGUGGAUGCUAAGAAGAGUGUUGCUAUAAACAUUCAGGUCUUUUGGUAAGCAUAUACCUGGCUUUCUGUUGGCUAUUUAUACCUAGAAAUAGAGUUGCUGGCUUAUAAGGUAUGCAUAUUUUUAGUUUUAGUAGACAUUGCAGUUUGUACCAAUUCACCCACCCACCAAUGUGAAUAUCUAAUAUUGCCUGCCUGUCUGUACGUGUGUACUGGUAUAGCAUUGUGGUUUUAAUUUGCAUUUUCCAGUGCCUAAUGAAAUAAAGCACCUUUUAAUAUGCUUAUUGGACAUA
rnacentral:lncRNA from 10 species